rnacentral:rRNA from 1 species
AGUGAACGCUGGCGGCGUGCUUAACACAUGCAAGUCGAACGAGAACGGGUUAUAGCUUGCUAUAAUUGUCAGCUAAGUGGCGCACGUGUGAGUAAUGUAUAGGUAAUAUGCCUCUUACUAAGGGAUAACAAAUGGAAACGUUUGCUAAUACCUUAUACUCCUUAUUAACAUAAGUUAAUAAGGGAAAGAUUUAUUGGUAAGAGAUUAGCCUGUAUUGUAUCAGUUAGUUGGUGGGGUAAUGGUUUACCAAGACUAUGAAACAUAACUGGUUUGAGAGGAUAAUCAUGCACACUGGAACUGAGACACGGUCCAGACUCCUACGGGAGGCAGCAGUGGGGAAUAUUGCACAAUAGACGAAAGGUUGAUGCAGCAACGCCGCGUGGAGGAUGACACAUUUCGGUGCGUAAACUCCUUUUAUAUGAGAAGAUAAUGACGGUAUUAUAUGAAUAAGCACCGGCUAACUCCGUGCCAGCCGCCGCGGUAAGAC